rnacentral:rRNA from 1 species
AGUGAACGCUGGCGGCGUGCCUAAUACAUGCAAGUCGAACGACCGCACGAUAAGCUUUCUUCUCUGCUGUUAGCGGCGGACGGGCGAGUAACACAUACAUCACCAUCUUCUAAUACUGGGAUGACUUCGUGGAACCGCAUCUAAUACCAGCUAAUACUACCAACCGCUUAGUUCAAGAGUUCUUGACGCUCUGCCUGUUAAUUAUAGCUGGAUCCGCGUUGCAUUAGCUAGUUGGUAAGGUAACGGCUUACCAAGGCAACGAUGCAUAGCUGAGCUGAGAGGAUGAUCAGCCACACUGGAACUGAGACACGGUCCAGACUCCUACGGGAGGCAGCAGUGGGGAAUAUUGCGCAAUGGGCGCAAGCCUGACGCAGCAACGCCGCGUGAGUGAUGAAGGUCUUCGGAUCGUAAAACUCUUUUGUUAGGGAAGAACAUAUGUAUAUUUAAAUGUGGACAUUCUGACGGUACCUAAAGAGAAAGCAACGGCUAACUACGUG